rnacentral:rRNA from 1 species
UACGUAGGGUGCAAGUGUUGUCCGGAAUUAUUGGGCGUAAAGAGCUCGUAGGCGGUUUGUCGCGUCUGCUGUGAAAACUCGGGGCUUAACUCCGGGCCUGCAGUGGGUACGGGCAGACUAGAGUGCGGUAGGGGAGACUGGAAUUCCUGGUGUAGCGGUGAAAUGCGCAGAUAUCAGGAGGAACACCGAUGGCGAAGGCAGCUCGCUGGGACGGUACUGACGCUGAGGCGCGAAAGCGUGGGGAGCAAACAGG